rnacentral:rRNA from 1 species
AGCUCCAUUAGCGUAUAUUAAAGUUGUUGCAGUUAAAAAGCUCGUAGUUAGAUUUCGGUUCGGGUCAGGGCGGUGGCGUCGCGAGACGUCUACCUCCCGGCCAGUCUCUCUUCCCGAAGACUGCGUUUGCUCUUCAGUGGGUGCGCAUCGGGACUCGGGACGUUUAUUUUGAAAAAAUUAGAGUUUUUAAAGCAGGCAUUUAUCGAAUACAUGAACAUGGAAUAAUGGAACAGGACUACGGUCACUGCACCUUUUCCGUUGGAUUCGGAGAACCGAAAUAAUGAUUAAGAGGGACAGUUGGGGGCGUCCGUAUUUUGUAGUCAGAGGUGAAAUUUUUGGGUCUGCGAAAGAAGAACGAGUGCGAAAGCAUUUGCCAAGAGUGUUUUUAUUAAUCAAGAAC